UACGUAGGCAGCGAGCGUUGUUCGGAAUUACUGGGCGUAAAGAGUGUGUAGGCGGUGUUCUAAGUCUGUCGUGAAAUCUCCGGGCUUAACUGGGAGGGUGCGGCGGAAACUGGAAUGCUAGAGGGUGGGAGAGGAAAGCGGAAUUCCUGGUGUAGCGGUGAAAUGCGUAGAUAUCAGGAGGAACACCUGCGGUGUAGACAGCUUUCUGGACCACUUCUGACGCUGAGACACGAAGGCGUGGGUAGCAAACAG
rnacentral:rRNA from 1 species